rnacentral:rRNA from 1 species
CUACGGAAGGCAGCAGUGAGGAAUUUUGCGCAAUGGGGGAAACCCUGACGCAGCAACGCCGCGUGAGUGAUGAAGGCCUUCGGGUCGUAAAGCUCUGUCAGAGGGAAAGAGGUGUGUGGUGGCUAAUACCUGCUACACUUGACGGUACCCUCAAAGGAAGCACCGGCUAACUCCGUGCCAGCAGCCGUGGUAAUACGGAGGGUGCGAGCGUUGUUCGGAAUUAUUGGGCGUAAAGCGCGUGUAGGCGGUUUUUUAAGUCUGAUGUGAAAGCCCUGGGCCCAACCCGGGAAGUGCAUUGGAAACUGGGAGACUUGAAUACGGGAGAGGGUAGUGGAAUUACUAGUGUAGGAGUGAAAUCCGUAGAUAUUAGGAGGAACACCGGUGGCGAAGGCGGCUACCUGGACCGAUAUUGACGCUGAGACGCGAAAGCGUGGGGAGCAAACAGGAUUAGAUACCCUAGUAU